UCUUCGGCAAUGGACGAAAGUCUGACCGAGCAACGCCGCGUGAGUGAAGAAGGUUUUCGGAUCGUAAAACUCUGUUGUUAGGGAAGAACAAGUGCCGUUCAAAUAGGGCGGCACCUUGACGGUACCUAACCAGAAAGCCACGGCUAACUACGUGCCAGCAGCCGCGGUAAUACGUAGGUGGCAAGCGUCGUCCGGAAUUAUUGGGCGUAAAGGGCUCGCAGGCGGUUUCUUAAGUCUGAUGUGAAAGCCCCCGGCUCAACCGGGGAGGGUCAUUGGAAACUGGGGAACUUGAGUGCAGAAGAGGAGAGUGGAAUUCCACGUGUAGCGGUGAAAUGCGUAGAGAUGUGGAGGAACACCAGUGGCGAAGGCGGCUCUCUGGUCUGUAACUGACGCUGAGGCUCGAAAGCGUGGGGAGCAAACAG
rnacentral:rRNA from 1 species